CCACUGUUGAGGAGUCCCAUAAUAGGACGAAGCGGCCGUCCAAUGU
rfam:Schistosoma rodhaini strain Burundi genome assembly, scaffold: SROB_scaffold0004670